ensembl:misc_RNA 7SK 7SK RNA
AGUCAUCGUGUUGGUCUGGCUGCCUUUUCUGAUAGUCCAAUGAUCACCAGGAUUGAUUUGGCUAAUCUGGUUUGCUAAAUUGCAAGUCUCCACCUAUCUCAUCAUUCCAUUAAAAUCCCUCCUGAAAUUGUGGUUUGGUCGGAGGGAGUAACAUUUCUAGAGGAGUCAAGGCUAAGUCAAUUGAUGAACGCCAUUUUUUAGAGUACAAAAAAACGCUUAACCACGGUUUCCAGCUCUGAAUGUGUACUGGGUUGUUGUGUAUC